GGGAGUGUAUGGGCUCUGGUGGGCUCCACGGACUUCAAACCCGAUGGGGGGCAUCCUUCGAUGUCCUCGGGGGGUUCGACUCCCUCACGCUCCC
rnacentral:tRNA from 1 species